GGCCCUUUGGUGAAGCGGUUAACACACAUGGUUUUCAUCCAUGCAUUCACGGGUUCGAGUCCCGUAAGGGUCA
rnacentral:tRNA from 1 species